rnacentral:tRNA from 1 species
AGAAUAGGACUCUAUCUUUAUUCUCGUCCGAUUAAUUAGUUAUACAAAAUAACUAUCAGACCGUGAGGUA